CAGUAGCCGCGGGAAUACGAAGGGGGCUAGCGUUGCUCGGAAUGACUGGGCGUAAAGGGCGCGUAGGCGGUUUGUCGAGUUAGAUGUGAAAUUCCCGGGCUUAACCUGGGGACUGCAUUUGAUACUGGCAGGCUUGAGUGUGGAAGAGGGUCGUGGAAUUCCCAGUGUAGAGGUGAAAUUUGUAGAUAUUGGGAAGAACACCGGUGGCGAAGGCGGCGACCUGGUCCAUAACUGACGCUGAGGCGCGAAAGCGUGGGGAGCAAACAGGAUUAGAUACCCGAGUAGUCCCUGUCUCUUAUAC
rnacentral:rRNA from 1 species